GAUGAACGCUGGCGGCGUGCCUAAUACAUGCAAGUCGAGCGAACAGACGAGGAGCUUGCUCCACUGACGUUAGCGGCGGACGGGUGAGUAACACGUGGAUAACCUACCUAUAAGACUGGGAUAACUUCGGGAAACCGGAGCUAAUACCGGACAAUAUAUUGAACCGCAUGGUUCAAUAGUGAAAGACGGUUUUGCUGUCACUUAUAGAUGGAUCCGCGCCGCAUUAGCUAGUUGGUAAGGUAACGGCUUACCAAGGCAACGAUGCGUAGCCGACCUGAGAGGGUGAUCGGCCACGCUGGAGCUGAGACACGGUCCAGACUCCUACGGGAGGCAGCAGUAGGGAAUCUUCCGCAAGGGGCGAAAGCCUGACGGAGCAACGCCGCGUGAGUGAUGAAGGUCUUCGGAUCGUAAACCUCUGUUAUUAGGGAAGAACAAAUGUGUAAGUAACUAUGCACGUCUUGACGGUACCUAAUCAGAAAGCCACGGCUAACUACGUG
rnacentral:rRNA from 1 species